GGAACAAGCGAGGUCGCAGAACCAGUCCCACCAUUGAAUCCAUGGAUGAAGUUCAGGAAAGAGUAUCAACACACGGUUUCGGCGAAGGGUGUUAAGCUGACCGAGUACAAUGACAUUGCCCGGGCAGCAUAUAAUAAGUUGAGUGAGGAAGAAAUGAGGAAGCGAAAGGAGGA